ACGUGGAUAACCUGCCUCAAGGCUGGGGAUAACAUUUGGAAACAGAUGCUAAUACCGAAUAAAACUUAGUAUCGCAUGAUAUCAAGUUAAAAGGCGCUACGGCGUCACCUAGAGAUGGAUCCGCGGUGCAUUAGUUAGUUGGUGGGGUAAAGGCUUACCAAGACGAUGAUGCAUAGCCGAGUUGAGAGACUGAUCGGCCACAUUGGGACUGAGACACGGCCCAAACUCCUACGGGAGGCUGCAGUAGGGAAUCUUCCACAAUGGGCGCAAGCCUGAUGGAGCAACGCCGCGUGUGUGAUGAAGGCUUUCGGGUCGUAAAGCACUGUUGUAUGGGAAGAAAUGCUAAAAUAGGGAAUGAUUUUAGUUUGACGGUACCAUACCAGAAAGGGACGGCUAAAUACGUGCCAGCAGCCGCGGUAAUACGUAUGUCCCGAGCGUUAUCCGGAUUUAUUGGGCGUAAAGCGAGCGCAGACGGUUGAUUAAGUCUGAUGUGAAAGCCCGGAGCUCAACUCCGGAAUGGCAUUGGAAACUGGUUAACUUGAGUGUUGUAGAGGUAAGUGGAACUCCAUGUGUAGCGGUGGAAUGCGUAGAUAUAUGGAAGAACACCAGUGGCGAAGGCGGCUUACUGGACAACAACUGACGUUGAGGCUCGAAAGUGUGGGUAGCAAACAGGAUUAGAUACCCUGGUAGUCCACACCGUAAACGAUGAAUACUAGGUGUUAGGAGGUUUCCGCCUCUUAGUGCCGAAGCUAACGCAUUAAGUAUUCCGCCUGGGGAGUACGACCGCAAGGUUGAAACUCAAAGGAAUUGACGGGGACCCGCACAAGCGGUGGAGCAUGUGGUUUAAUUCGAAGCAACGCGAAGAACCUUACCAGGUCUUGACAUCCUUUGAAGCUUUUAGAGAUAGAAGUGUUCUCUUCGGAGACAAAGUGACAGGUGGUGCAUGGUCGUCGUCAGCUCGUGUCGUGAGAUGUUGGGUUAAGUCCCGCAACGAGCGCAACCCUUAUUGUUAGUUGCCAGCAUUCAGUUGGGCACUCUAGCGAGACUGCCGGUGACAAACCGGAGGAAGGCGGGGACGACGUCAGAUCAUCAUGCCCCUUAUGACCUGGGCUACACACGUGCUACAAUGGCGUAUACAACGAGUUGCCAACCUGCGAAGGUGAGCUAAUCUCUUAAAGUACGUCUCAGUUCGGACUGCAGUCUGCAACUCGACUGCACGAAGUCGGAAUCGCUAGUAAUCGCGGAUCAGCACGCCGCGGUGAAUACGUUCCCGGGUCUUGUACACACCGCCCGUCACACNCAUGGGAGUUUGUAAUGCCCAAA
rnacentral:rRNA from 1 species